rnacentral:rRNA from 1 species
GACGAACGCUGGCGGCGUGCCUAAUACAUGCAAGUAGAACGCUGAAGGAGGAGCUUGCUCUUCUGGAUGAGUUGCGAACGGGUGAGUAACGCGUAGGUAACCUGCCUGGUAGCGGGGGAUAACUAUUGGAAACGAUAGCUAAUGCCGCAUAAGAGUAGAUGUUGCAUGACAUUUGCUUAAAAGGUGCAAUUGCAUCACUACCAGAUGGACCUGCGUUGUAUUAGCUAGUUGGUGGGGUAACGGCUCACCAAGGCGACGAUACAUAGCCGACCUGAGAGGGUGAUCGGCCACACUGGGACUGAGACACGGCCCAGACUCCUACGGGAGGCAGCAGUAGGGAAUCUUCGGCAAUGGACGGAAGUCUGACCGAGCAACGCCGCGUGAGUGAAGAAGGUUGUCGGAUCGUAAAGCUCUGUUGUAAGAGAAGAACGAGUGUGAGAGUGGAAAGUUCACACUGUGACGGUAUCUUACCAGAAAGGGACGGCUAACUACGUG